GUUGGUGAGCUCGGGUGCUAUUGAAGGCCAUGGUUAGCAACGCCGGUUUAGGCUGAGAGUGAACUCGGUCUGGUGAGGUUUAUAGCAAGGUGAGGAUUCUCUAGGUUUUUGCUCAGUUUGAGGAUUGAAUUGCUACUAUGUUUUGUGGUAUGGUUGAUUGGUGAUUAAUCUUGGGUUUUUGUUGUUUGUUGUCGAGAACUUGGUGUUUUGAAGAAUACGGGGAGGUCAUGGCAAAAUUCCGGCAAGUGGCUGGAAUUCGGCAGAAUAUUCCGGCAAGCUAUUGAAAUCUGAUGAGGGUUUCUGGUCAGGACAACAGAUCAACAGGGAGUCCAUAAGCUUAUGGUCAGGCAUGGGAUUGACUCAAGGACUUGGAUAUUUGGAGGCGGCGCUCGAGGAGUGUUUCGGGCAAUGGAAAACUUAGGUUUAAUCUGUGAGUGGACACUUUGGUUUUAAUAAAUAUGCAUGCAAGAUAAGAUAUCAAUUUAUUUUCCGAGCUUACAUUAUAAUUUUGGCUUAUGAAAUGAUCUUAGAAUUUAUUUGAGUUUUUGAUGCAUUGAUUAUGUAAUGGUCAUGAUUUAUGGAUUUGAGCUCGGGUUAUUAUUUUGGUAUUUGAGUUUUGAUAUUCCUUAUGACUUCCGGAUCUAUUUAUUAUUAUUUUAUUUGUUGACUUUGAGAUUUAUAAAAGAUUACCGAAAAUCCCAUUUUCG
rnacentral:lncRNA from 1 species